rnacentral:rRNA from 1 species
GACGAACGCUGGCGGCGUGCUUAACACAUGCAAGUCGAACGGAAAGGCCCUGCUUUUGUGGGGUGCUCGAGUGGCGAACGGGUGAGUAACACGUGAGUAACCUGCCCUUGACUUUGGGAUAACUUCAGGAAACUGGGGCUAAUACCGGAUAGGAGCUCCUGCUGCAUGGUGGGGGUUGGAAAGUUUCGGCGGUUGGGGAUGGACUCGCGGCUUAUCAGCUUGUUGGUGGGGUAGUGGCUUACCCAGGCUUUGACGGGUAGCCGGCCUGAGAGGGUGACCGGCCACAUUGGGACUGAGAGACGGCCCAGACUCCUACGGGAGGCAGCAGUGGGGAAUAUUGCACAAUGGGCGGAAGCCUGAGGCAGCAACGCCGCGUGCGGGAUGACGGCCUUCGGGUUGUAAACCGCUUUCGCCUGUGACGAAGCGUGAGUGACGGUAAUGGGUAAAGAAGCACCGGCUAACUACGUG